UUACAGCCAUAUCGUGUUGAAUCAUCAGUUCUUGUAUGGACACCGAAGUUAAGCAGCAUUGAACCUGAUCAGUACUUAGAUGGGUGACCACUUGGGAAUACCAGGUGCUGUAAG